UUUUAAAAAAAUGAGUUUAUAAUUCCAUUUUUCUUCUCAAAAACUGCUUUCCUCCCAUGUGUUUUUCCCUCUCCGGCUCAAUUAACCGUAAACCUCAACGUGUAAAUGAGCAUCGCCAUUUUCAUGGAUCAGCUCGACUCUGUGAUUUUCUCAAGAUAAUAAAUUGUAUGGUUAGGGGUUUUUGAUUGAUUGUCUGUAUCAAGAAAUCAAUGGUUGGGGAGGGUGAGGGUAGCGUGAGUGCGACCGGAGCCGAGGAGGUGAAUGCUAAUAUCCGAUGCUCCAAUGGCUCAAAAUUUCUGGUCAAAACGAGCAUCGAGUCGACGAUAGCUAAAUUCAAAGGUUUGCCGGCGCAGAAUUGAGAUAUAAAGGCCGGAUCUUGAAGGACGAUCAAACCUAGCAAGCUACGGGAAGGAUCUCAGCUUGGUCAGACCACAGAGCUUGUAAGGUUUACCAAACGCAGGUAGCCAACAUAUAUAAUAUGCUGGAUUUGGACAUGCCGAUAAAUAUGUUUGGCGUACAUGGAGCUGGGCCUCGAAGAACUCUAUGCUCCUCAGUUAUCACAGAUGCAAGAGAUGGGUUUUUUUGACACCCAAGAAAAUGUAAGAACACUCCAAGCUACAGCAUGGAAAUGUUCAGACAGUAAAACUAGUCAUGAUCAAGUCCUUCAAAUGCAUAUUACAAUUUGAGCUUGAGACAUUUAAGGCAUGAAAAUAAAGAUUUCAUAUCUAUUUUUUAGGCUGGAAAACAUGCUGAUGAAAUCUUUAUUUUAUUUUAUUUUAUUUUUAGUAUAGAU